AUCAAAAUCCGCAGCCACAACAAAAGGAACGAAAUCCGCAGCCACAGUUUCAAAAUCUCUUGUUGAGAAGUCUCCAGCAACAUGUUCAAAGCCUCCUGUAAAGAAAAGUCAGUUAGCUUCACCCUCCCCUCUACGAAGAUCUCCGCGUAAAACUGGAGCUGAAGUUAUCAAGGCUAAUCAGAAGUGCAAGUUAAUGGAUAUUAGUGGAAAGAGGCGGGUGGUUGGUGAAGGACGUGUGCAUUCAAUCGACCCAGACCAAAAGGUACACCAUGUUCGCUUGGGGGCAAAUGCAGCUAGAGUUUGGGUAGAUGUAGUGAAGAUAGAUGAUGCAGCAGUUUGGAGGCCAUCAGAUGAAAUCGAGUAUAUGAGAGAUUCACUUGGUUCAUCUAUUGCAUGGCCAAUGGAUAAGUUGGUCAUCUAUUGAGUAGAUGAAGAAACUGGGGGAAUGAAGAAACUUUGGUCCAGAUUAGGUAGUUUUAAUUAGUUUAAGACUAGACUAAUCAGCUUCUGUUAUGUACUUUGGAAUCAGACUUGUUAUGUCUUUUGGAUUUAGACUUGUUAUGUUGAAUGAUUCUGUAUAACUUUCUAACUUUUGAAUUGGAAUCAGACUUAUGUUACAAUUUA